rnacentral:lncRNA from 1 species
UAUAAGGCGUGCUCCUCUAUUAGCUUCAAACGAUUCACAGAGCACCCGCCAUGCCAAAAAAUUCCUUAGUAAUAAUCUGAUUUCCAUCACUUUGAACUUGAAGGAAGGCCAUUCGCGAGGUCUGAUGAUGGCAUUUACUAGCAUUCUUCCUUCAAAAGCAAAGUGUACUUUUAAGUAUCUGUGAUUCUUCAUGCUUUCAAUAGCCCAAACAACACUGACAAACUGGGCUUCACUUUUCGAUUCCACUUCCCCAAAAGACCGUCUGCUAUGGAGAAG